rnacentral:rRNA from 1 species
UACGUAGGGUGCAAGCGUUGUUCGGAAAUACUGGGCGUAAAGCGCACGUAGGCGGCGCAGCAAGUCAGGGGUGAAAUCCCGGGGCUCAACCCCGGAACUGCCCUUGAAACUGCAGUGCUAGAAUCUUGGAGAGGCGAGUGGAAUUCCGAGUGUAGAGGUGAAAUUCGUAGAUAUUCGGAAGAACACCAGUGGCGAAGGCGGCUCACUGGACUGGUAUUGACGCUGAGGUGCGAAAGCGUGGGGAGCGAACAGG